ACCUCAGCAAAAUGAACCCAGCAGUUUCACGUCUUCUCUGCCUGCGGCGGCCGGGCUAUAGAGGAGUAUGUGGCCGAUUUUUGUGAGUCCCGCAGCACCUACCAAGCCACAGUCUGCUAAUGUCAUGCCUGCUAUGCCAAAGCCUGCUCACAUAAUGUCUGCCAAGCCACAGCCUGCUCACGUCAU